GGGGAAUAUUGCGCAAUGGGGGAAACCCUGACGCAGCGACGCCGUGUGAGGGAAGAAGGCUUUCGGGUCGUAAACCUCUGUCGGGAAGGAAGAACCCCCCAGGUCCGAAUAGGGCCUGGGGCUGACGGUACUUCCAAAGGCAGCACCGGCUAACUUCGUGCCAGCAGCCGCGGUAAUACGAAGGGUGCAAGCGUUACUCGGAAUUACUGGGCGUAAAGCGUGCGUAGGUGGUUGUUUAAGUCUGUUGUGAAAGCCCUGGGCUCAACCUGGGAAUUGCAGUGGAUACUGGGCGACUAGAGUGUGGUAGAGGGUAGUGGAAUUCCCGGUGUAGCAGUGAAAUGCGUAGAGAUCGGGAGGAACAUCCAUGGCGAAGGCAGCUACCUGGACCAACACUGACACUGAGGCACGAAAGCGUGGGGAGCAAACA
rnacentral:rRNA from 1 species